GCUGGAGGGCCCCGAAAGGUCAGCCAUCAAAAGGAGGUAAUUCUGUGUCUGAAUGGCCACGCGUUUUCCAGAACCCGGGAGCAGUUUCAGCUAUUGGACGCAGGGGAGGUUGGAUUUGCACACCAUCCUGAGUUUCCACCAGUGUGCUGUGUGGGGCUGCACACAUUCCAUCUCCUCCGCUCCCUAAUCUCAAAGAGCAGCUGCCGUAAAUCAUUAAGUUAAUCAUCCUUUGGCAGGGAGAGCCCAGGCAGACUGGUGCUUCCAGUUCUCAGCAAGGCUUCUUGCUGUUUCUAAUGAGGCUUCAUUAACAGGUAAGAAAAGGCACUGCUGGCCCCCUGAUUCCGCUAGGGCCUUAUUUAACUCAGGCUUCCUCUCACAACAUCCGGUAAAAUUACACUCUGGCAGCAGUGUGCUGACAGGUGGCUGGGGAGGCUGCUCCUUCUGCUGGUGUCAAGGACAGAGCAUUUGCUCGGGAGCGGACCAGAGAAGGACUUCCGAUGGACUCCUCCAGAAGCGCAGAUGCGUGCUAUUUCCAGACUAGGUAACGCCACUGGCCUCUGGCCCCUGGGGCACGGUGUAACACCCAGUGAGACUGCUAGAACGUCCACUUGCUUUCAGACCCAAGAACAAACUCACCUUCGUUGUCAUCUACGACACUUCCGAGCACCUACUUAUCUUGUUGGACUUCAAGGAUACCAGGAAACAGAAGCUGCUUUCUGCUCCGGGACAACAGUGUACCUUUACUGUAUUGCCUCAGGCUAUGUCAACUCUCCUGCACCUGCUCAUAAUGUAGUCUAGACGGACCCCGGCACACCAAGCUGAUCCAUUUCAUGUUUUCAUCAUGCUAAUUGGACCUGGUGGGCCCGAAGGAACUAACUAGCAAGUAGAUGCCUUACUUAGGAAGGCAUGCCAGAGGAUGGAAGUUGCGUAGAAGAUGCACCCAUUUACCCUGUGUCUUCAAAAGCCCAGGCCACCACCACCACACCACCCCUGCCACAUCACCGAAGUCUCCACCACCAGCCUCACCACCCUGGAAAGUGUGUACUCGAGACUGAGAAAUAUGGGCUUUCUCUGGAUGCUUAGCUAAUCAGCCACUCCCCUGCUUCAAAAGAUCAAAGGCUCCCAACUGCUCUCACGAUGAAGUCCAAUCUCCCUAACCUAGUUUUCAAGGCUUCCGUGGUCUGGGCUCACUCCCCUUCCCCUGCUUUGUUUCCUAUCACUCAUCACCCACUUCUGCCUCUGGAAGUCUCCUUUCCAGCACACUUCUGUGGUUCCCUGACUCCCCUGUGCUCUUGCUGGUUCCUCACACUUCCUUGUGAUGUUUCUUCUCCUCUGCCCUGCUUCUUUGCCCGAAGAAAUCUUCCAUAAGCCUCAAGACCCAGCUCACAUGCCUGUCACAUCCUUGAAGUAUCCCCCACCCUUCAUCUCUGUAUCAUGAGUGCCACCUUUUUCACUUUGCAUUACCUGCUGGUGUUUUGUUGGACUUCCCAGUAGACUGUGAGACCCCCAUGGCACACUGUCAGAGCCUA